UACGAAGGGGGCUAGCGUUGCUCGGAGUCACUGGGCGUAAAGCGCACGUAGGCGGCUUUCUAAGUCAGGGGUGGAAAUCCUGGAGCUCAACUCCAGAACUGCCUUUGAUACUGGAGAGCUUGAGUCCGGGAGAGGAGAGCGGAAUUCCCAGUGUAGAGGUGAAAUUCGUAGAUAUUGGGAAGAACACCGUGGCGAAGGCGGCUCUCUGGACCGAGACUGACGCUGAGGCGCGAAAGCGUGGGGAGCAAACAGG
rnacentral:rRNA from 1 species